AUUGAACGCUGGCGGCAGGCUUAACACAUGCAAGUCGAGCGGAGAUGAGGUGCUUGCACCUUAUCUUAGCGGCGGACGGGUGAGUAAUGCUUAGGAAUCUGCCUAUUAGUGGGGGACAACAUUCCGAAAGGAAUGCUAAUACCGCAUACGUCCUACGGGAGAAAGCAGGGGAUCUUCGGACCUUGCGCUAAUAGAUGAGCCUAAGUCGGAUUAGCUAGUUGGUGGGGUAAAGGCCUACCAAGGCGACGAUCUGUAGCGGGUCUGAGAGGAUGGUCCGCCAAACUGGGACUGAGACACGGCCCAGACUCCUACGGGAGGCAGCAGUGGGGAAUAUUGGACAAUGGGGGGAACCCUGAUCCAGCCAUGCCGCGUGUGAAGAAGGCCUUAUGGUUGUAAAGCACUUUAAGCGAGGAGGAGGCUACUGAGACUAAUACUCUUGGAUAGUGGACGUUACUCGCAGAAUAAGCACCGGCUAACUCUGUGCCAGCAGCCGCGGUAAAAC
rnacentral:rRNA from 1 species